GCCUACGACCAUAUCACCCUGAAUGCGCCCGAUCUCGUCUGAUCUCAGAAGCUAAGCAUGGUCGAGCCUGGUUAGUACUUGAAUGGGAGACUGCCUGGGAAUACCAGGUGUUGUAGGCU
rnacentral:rRNA from 1 species